rnacentral:snRNA from 1 species
AUCUUUGCGCUUGGGGCAAUGUCGCAGUUAAUGAGGUCUAACCGAGACGCGACUAUUGCUGGUUGAAAACUAUAUCCAAUCCUCACGUUUUUUGAAUAAAAAACGUAAUUUCUGGCUGCUUGGCGCCUCGGCUGUAUCCAAG